GAUGAACGCUGGCGGCGUGCUUAACACAUGCAAGUCGAACGGAAAGGCUCCUGCUUGCAGGGGUACUCGAGUGGCGAACGGGUGAGUAACACGUGGGUGAUCUGCCCUGCACUUCGGGAUAAGCCUGGGAAACUGGGUCUAAUACCGGAUAGGACCACAUUUUGGAUGGUGUGGUGGAAAGUUUUUCGGUGUGGGAUGAGCUCGCGGCCUAUCAGCUUGUUGGUGGGGUAAUGGCCUACCAAGGCGUCGACGGGUAGCCGGCCUGAGAGGGUGUACGGCCACAUUGGGACUGAGAUACGGCCCAGACUCCUACGGGAGGCAGCAGUGGGGAAUAUUGCACAAUGGGCGCAAGCCUGAUGCAGCGACGCCGCGUAGGGGAUGACGGCCUUCGGGUUGUAAACUCCUUUCGCUAGGGACGAAGCGCAAGUGACGGUACCUGGAGAAGAAGCACCGGCUAACUACGUG
rnacentral:rRNA from 1 species